rnacentral:rRNA from 1 species
ACGGAGGGUGCAAGCGUUAAUCGGAAUUACUGGGCGUAAAGCGCACGUAGGCUGUAGUGUAAGUCAGGGGUGAAAUCCCACGGCUCAACCGUGGAACUGCCUUUGAUACUGCACAACUUGAAUCCGGGAGAGGGUGGCGGAAUUCCAGGUGGAGGAGCGCAAUCCGUAGUUAUCUGGAGGAGCAGCAGUGGCGAGGGCGGCCACCUGGACCGGUAUUCAGGCUGAGGUGCGAAACCGUGGCUAGCAAACAG